UGAGCAAAGAACGGUAGGGAAGGGACCAGGUGUGUGGGGUCAGGGGCAAGCAAGAUACCAACACAGCCACACUGGAACACAGCCUGUGUAAAAGCAGGGGCAUGGGUAACUCGGAGGAAUGACUCAGUUGAGUGAACUUUGUGGCCUUCCACAGAGAGUUCUCUGACCCUGCUGUAAGUCAGCUGGCCCUCCCACCAAGCACAGACUGUGGCUCGA
rnacentral:lncRNA from 1 species